GCNCUUCNUGNNUUUAACCGACCUAGUAAUAGGUAUGCUUAGGGAGGAGCUUGCGUCACAUUAGUUAGUUGGUGGGGUAAAGGCCUACCAAGACUAUUAUGUGUAGCCGGGCUGAGAGGUUGAACGGCCACAUUGGGACUGAGACACGGCCCAAACUCCUACGGGAGGCAGCAGUAGGGAAUUUUCGGCAAUGGAGGAAACUCUGACCGAGCAACGCCGCGUGAACGAUGAAGUAUUUCGGUACGUAAAGUUCUUUUAUUAGGGAAGAAUAAAUGAUGGAAAAAUCAUUCUGACGGUACCUAAUGAAUAAGCCCCGGCUAACUAUGUGCCAGCAGCCGCGGUAAUACAUAGGGGGCAAGCGUUAUCCGGAAUUAUUGGGCGUAAAGGGUGCGUAGGCGGUUAAAUAAGUUUAUGGUCUAAGUGCAAUGCUCAACAUUGUGAUGCUAUAAAAACUGUUUAGCUAGAGUAAGAUAGAGGCAAGUGGAAUUCCAUGUGUAGUGGUAAAAUGCGUAAAUAUAUGGAGGAACACCAGUAGCGAAGGCGGCUUGCUGGGUCUUUACUGACGCUGAGGCACGAAAGCGUGGGGAGCAAACAGGAUUAGAUACCCUGGGUAGUCCACGCCGUAAACGAUGAGUACUAAACGUUGGGUAAAAACCAGUGUUGAAGUUAACACAUUAAGUACUCCGCCCNGAGUAGUACGUACCCAAGUAUGAAACUUAAAGGAAUUGACGGGGACUCCGCACAANCGGGGGAUCU
rnacentral:rRNA from 1 species